UCUUCUUGGUUUAUGUGUGUCCCCAUCAAUUGGUUAGAAGGAGUUGCCUAUUGUUGGGUUUCUUCAAUUAUUGGGACUUGAGUUCCUUUGGGCCGACUUUCUUGAUCGUGGGAUGCUCUAGAAGGUUAUUAUAUGGGAACACUGUGAAUAUCCUUACUUGAUUUAGGGGCGACCCCAGUAGUUCGUUUGCCCUAGUUAGUUUUUCUUCAUGAAUGGGAAUUCGUGUCCCACCAAGUGGACUUUCUCAGUCUUGGGGUGCUCUAUUGAUGGAGGCAUGCCCUUGGCUUUAUUAUAUUCUAGAUGCUCAUCUUAUUUCGGUUAUCCUUUCCAAGUGGGUU
rnacentral:lncRNA from 1 species